rnacentral:misc_RNA from 1 species
ACAAACUUGGUCAUUUAGAGGAAGUACAAGUCGUAACAAGGUAUCCGUAGGUGAACCUGCGGAUGGAUCAUUACUGUGUGAUUCUGUUUGUAAUGUGAAUUGUUGAUUGUUGCGGUUGGUGGUGUUUUGAUGUGUUUUGGUGUUACUUUGACGUACUUGGUAUUUCUUUGUACGUGGUACUUCUUUGAUGUACUUGGCGUCUUUUGAUGUGCUCGGUAUUUCUUUGUACUCGGUACUUUGAUGUACUUGGCGUCUUUUGAUGUACAUGGUACUUCUUUGAUGUGCUUGGCAUCUUGUCAACAUCGUCUCAGCACCAGCCUUUGUACGUACACUAUGCAAGCCUGAGUCCAUUUACUGAAUGAAAAACAACUUUUAGCAAUGGAUCUCUUGGCUCUCGCAUCGAUGAAGAACGCAGC